UACGUAGGUGGCAAGCGUUAUCCGGAAUUAUUGGGCGUAAAGGGAGCGUAGGCGGAUAUUUAAGUGGGAUGUGAAAUACAUGAGCUCAACUCGUGCGCUGCAUUCCAAACUGGAUAUCUAGAGUGCAGGAGAGGAGAGUGGAAUUCCUAGUGUAGCGGUGAAAUGCGUAGAGAUUAGGAAGAACACCAGUGGCGAAGGCGACUCUCUGGACUGUAACUGACGCUGAGGCUCGAAAGCGUGGGGAGCGAACAGG
rnacentral:rRNA from 1 species